GGUGAACGCUGGCGGUAUGCCUAAGACAUGCAAGUCGCGCGGUCUGAUUUCGGUCAGGUAGCGGCGGACGGGUGAGUAACACGUGGGUGAUCUGCCCCGUAGUCCGGGACAACUAGGCGAAAGCUUAGCUAAUCCCGGAUGUGGACCCUCCUCUUGAGGAGUGUCUAAAGCUUCGGCGCUAUGGGAUAGGCCUGCGGCCCAUCAGCUAGUUGGCGGGGUAACGGCCCACCAGGGCGACGACGGGUAGCUGGUCUGAGAGGACGACCAGCCACGGCGGUACUGAGACACAGACCCGACUCCUACGGGUGGCAGAAGUAAGGAAUCUUCCCAAUUGGGCGAAAGCCUGAGGGAGCGAUACCGCUUGAGCGAGGAAGCCCUUCGGGGUGUAAAGUUCUGAACCCGGGACGAUGAUGACGGUACCGGGGUAAUAGCACCGGCUAACUCCGUGCCAGCCGCCGCCGUAA
rnacentral:rRNA from 1 species